GGGGAUGUACUGGUUUCGACGGGGGUAGGUGGUGUAUGAUAAGCGAGCCGUGGUUCCAUCUGCACGUUAAUCGGUGGGAACGUUUAAAUAUAAACGCUGAAAACGAAUACGCUUUAGCAGCCUAAACUGCUACUGCCUCUUGAGCUCCUCCUAUAGGCGAGGGAAGGCAGUCAAUAUGUAGGAUACUCUUUGGUCUUCUCCCUAGGGCUAGAGGGGAAACAAAUAGGGAUAGCAAGUAGGCGGCCCGUCGUUAGGCAGUUUAGGAGCGAAAUCCUAGUAUGACGUCUGCGCUCGGAGAAAGUUGUAUGACAAUAUUUUCGGACAGGGGUUCGACUCC
rnacentral:tmRNA from 1 species